rnacentral:rRNA from 1 species
AUGGCUUGGGCGGCUUGCCGCUGGACUACCGCGUUCAGAAUCAGACGGUGCGCCGUCCUGGGGGCAGCAAGGCUGACCUCGCCUGGGUGCGCCGUCCUAGAUGCGCCGACCGCUUGGCCAUUGGCGACGUCGACCUCAUGGGCGCUUGUCAGUACGCGGAGGAGAACGACGACGCCACCCUCACCCUGUAACGCGCGCCCGCGUGGCGCCGUUGUGGUGGCCGCCGCCGUGGAGGUGGUGGUGGUGGACACGACACGUGAACAUUAUGUCGACGACGACUGCGACGGCGGCUCGACUCCCGUCGUCCACGUCUACGGCUCCGUGACCGCGAAAGCCAGAGCGACUUCGGGCGAACGCUGGGUGGAGGAGCACAGCCUGUUCCACAGGGCGAAAGGCCAGCUGGCCCGCGUGCCCAGAGACGCGCCCAUACCGCUGCAGACGACGGCGGUGCUCGUCUCCGCGCCGCUGUGCUCGGACUCGGAGCUUCAGGUCUCCGCCGAGCUGCUGGACGCCAGCGCGUCGUGGCAGAGCCCCGACCACGAAAUCGCGCGUGGCUCCGUGGUCUUCGCCCCACGCCUGGCCGGGACCGACACCGCGGAGAUCGCCGGCGCCGACGGCAAGGAAUCAAUUAGGGCGUGGGGGAUUAGCGAUGAGGCCAGCAUGAUGAUGGUGAGGAAUCCUUGGCAUGUCGGUCAGCACCGCUGUUGUCACCGGGCAGAAUGGUCGACUGGCCAUGGAGCCCUCUGCGAGCAGGGGUAUGAGGUGAUUCUGGUCACCUCCGGCGCCGUCGGCGUCCGGAGGCAGAGGCUCAUGUACCGAAAGCUCAUCAACAACAGUUUCGCUGAUCUACAGAACCCACAGUUCGAUCUGGAUGGGAAGGCCUACGCUGCCGUCGUCCAGAGUGGCCUCAUGGCUAUCUACGAUACACUGCUUAGACAAGUGGGUUUGCUAACUGUUGUUCUUUCUUUUGUUGUUGUUGUUGAGAUAUGGUGUUUCUUGCUAAUCUCCAAUCAAAUGCUUGUGAGCGGAAAGGUUCUUGUUUGCUUGUUUCCCUUCCUGUUCAGGUUGUUCGUCGUCUGUGUUGUUAGCCAGCAAGUCUGUGUCAUUAGCCAGCAAGGUUAG